AUUGAACGCUGGCGGUAGGCCUAACACAUGCAAGUCGAACGGCAGCACAGUAAGAGCUUGCUCUUACGGGUGGCGAGUGGCGGACGGGUGAGGAAUACAUCGGAAUCUACUUUUUCGUGGGGGAUAACGUAGGGAAACUUACGCUAAUACCGCAUACGACCUACGGGUGAAAGCAGGGGAUCUUCUGACCUUGCGCGAUUGAAUGAGCCGAUGUCGGAUUAGCUAGUUGGCGGGGUAAAGGCCCACCAAGGCGACGAUCCGUAGCUGGUCUGAGAGGAUGAUCAGCCACACUGGAACUGAGACACGGUCCAGACUCCUACGGGAGGCAGCAGUGGGGAAUAUUGGACAAUGGGCGCAAGCCUGAUCCAGCAAUACUGCGUGGGUGAAGAAGGCCUUCGGGUUGUAAAGCCCUUUUGUUGGGAAAGAAAAGCAGCAGGUUAAUACCCCGCUGUUCUGACGGUACCCAAAGAAUAAGCACCGGCUAACUUCGUG
rnacentral:rRNA from 1 species